rnacentral:rRNA from 1 species
GAUGAACGCUGGCGGCGUGCUUAACACAUGCAAGUCGAACGGUGAAGCAGGAGCUUGCUCUUGUGGAUCAGUGGCGAACGGGUGAGUAACACGUGAGCAACCUGCCCCUGACUCUGGGAUAAGCGCUGGAAACGGCGUCUAAUACUGGAUAUGUGAUGUGACCGCAUGGUCUGCAUCUGGAAAGAAGUUCGGUGGGGGAUGGGCUCGCGGCCUAUCAGCUUGUUGGGGAGGGAAUGGCUCACCAAGGCGUCGACGGGUAGCCGGCCUGAGAGGGUGACCGGCCACACUGGGACUGAGACACGGCCCAGACUCCUACGGGAGGCAGCAGUGGGGAAUAUUGCACAAUGGGCGGAAGCCUGAUGCAGCAACGCCGCGUGAGGGAUGACGGCCUUCGGGUUGUAAACCUCUUUUAGCAGGGAAGAAGCGAAAGUGACGGUACCUGCAGAAAAAGCACCGGCUAACUACGUGCCAGCAGCCGCCGUAA